rnacentral:misc_RNA from 1 species
UCCGACUGUACGCCGGCAGUCCCCUGUGAGUAUUCAACACAGGGCAGGGGUUGCGCUCGUUGCGGGACUUAACCCAACAGCUCACGCCACGAGCUGACGACAACCAUGCAACACCUGUCUAGCACCCUCUAAGGCUUCCCCUGUUUCCAGGGGCGUGCAGCUAGAUGUCAAACCUAGGUAAGGUUCUUCGCUCAGUAUCGAAUUAAACCACAUGCUCCACCGCUUGUGCGGGUUCCCGUCAAUUCCUUUGAGUUUUAGCCUUGCGGCCGUACUUCCCAGGCGAGGUACUUAACGCGUUAGCUUACGAUUCGGAAACUGUCGAUGUUCCCAAACCUAGUACCCAUCGUUUACGGCGUGGACUAC